AAUAUUGCACAAUGGGGGAAACCCUGAUGCAGCGACGCCGCGUGAGCGAAGAAGGNCUNNGGGUCNUNAAGCUCUGUCCUAAGNNNNNAAACGGACGGUCCCUUAGGAGGAAGCCCCGGCUAACUACGUGCCAGCAGCCGCGGUAAGACGUAGGGGGCGGGCGUUAUCCGGACUGAUUGGGCGGAAAGGAUGCGUAGGCGGCUUUUUAAGACAGAUGUGAAAGGCUACGGCUUAACCGUAGUUAGCAUUUGAAACUAAAAGGCUUGAGUGCAGGAGAGGAGAGUGGAACUCCUAGUGUAGCGGUGAAAUGCGUAGAUAUUAGGAGGAACACCAGUGGCGAAGGCGACUCUCUGGACUGCAACUGACGCUGAGGCACGAAAGCGUGGGGAGCGAACAG
rnacentral:rRNA from 1 species